UCACGUUAUUGGAGCGGCCGAUAUCAGAUUAGCUAGUCGGUGGGUAAAGGCCUACCAAGGCGACGAUCUGUAGCUGGUCUGAGAGGAUGAUCAGCCACACUGGGACUGAGACACGGCCCAGACUCCUACGGGAGGCAGCAGUGGGGAAUUUUGGACAAUGGGCGAAAGCCUGAUCCAGCCAUGCCGCGUGAGUGAAGAAGGCCUUCGGGUUGUAAAGCUCUUUCAGGUGGAAAGAAAGCGGAUGGGUUAAUACCCUGUCCGGAUGACGGUACCACCAGAAGAAGCACCGGCUAACUACGUG
rnacentral:rRNA from 1 species